rnacentral:rRNA from 1 species
AGUCAAGUGAAUAAGCGCGUAUGGUGGAUGCCUUGGCAGUAAGAGGCGAUGAAGGACGUAGUAGUCUGCGAUAAGCUUCGGGGAGUUGACAAACAAGCGGUGAUCCGGAGAUUUCCAAAUGGGGAAACCCAACCCUUUAGGGUUAUCGUGUACUAAAUUCAUAGGUACACGAAGCUAACCUGGGGAACUGAAACAUCUAAGUACCCAGAGGAAAAGAAAUCAAAAUGAGAUUCCGUUAGUAGCGGCGAGCGAACGUGGAAGAGCCCGGUUACUAACUCGCUAUUUGUUCUAGCAGAAUGUUCUGGAAAGUGCAACCAUAGUAGGUGAUAGUCCUGUAUGCGAAAGGCGAAUAGUGUUAAGUAACGAUGAGUAGGUCGGGACACGUGUAAUCCUGACUGAAGAUGGGGGGACCAUCCUCCAAGGCUAAAUACUACUUACUGACCGAUAGUGAACUAGUACCGUGAGGGAAAGGUGAAAAGAACCCCGGUGAGGGGAGUGAAAUAGAACCUGAAACCGUAUGCGUACAAGCAGUCGAAGCAUUUCUUCGGAGAUGUGACGGCGUACCUUUUGUAUAAUGGGUCAGCGACUUACUUGUUGUAGCAAGCUUAACCGUUUAGGGGAGGCGUAGAGAAAUCGAGUCCGAAAUUAGGGCGUUUAGUUGCAGCAAGUAGACCCGAAACCGGGCGAUCUAUCUAUGGCCAGGGUGAAAGUCAGGUAACACUGACUGGAGGCCCGAACCCACUAAUGUUGAAAAAUUAGGGGAUGAGCUGUGGAUAGGAGUGAAAGGCUAAUCAAGCUCGGAGAUAGCUGGUUCUCCUCGAAAGCUAUUUAGGUAGCGCCUCGUGUAUGAUUCUUGGGGGUAGAGCACUGUUUUGGCUAGGGGACCUACCCGGUCUGCCAAACCGAAGCAAACUCCGAAUACCAAGAAAUUUUAGCACGGGAGACACACUGCGGGUGAUAAGGUCCGUAGUGCAAAGGGAAACAGCCCAGACCGUCAGCUAAGGUCCCAAAAUCACAGUUAAGUGGUAAACGAUGUAGGAAGGCUUAGACAACCAGGAGGUUGGCUUAGAAGCAGCCAUCCUUUAAAGAAAGCGUAAUAGCUCACUGCUCGAGUCGUCCUGCGCGGAAGAUUUAACGGGGCUAAAAUUGUGUACCGAAGCUACGGGACUCCUUCGGGAGUCGGUAGAGGAGCGUUCUGUAGGCCUGAGAAGGCAAACUGAGAGGUUUGUUGGAGGUAUCAGAAGUGCGAAUGCUGACAUAAGUAACGAUAAUGUGGGUGAGAAACCCACACGCCGAAAGUCUAAGGUUUCCUGCGCAACGUUAAUCGGCGCAGGGUGAGUCGGCCCCUAAGGUGAGGCAGAAAUGCGUAGCCGAUGGGAAACAGGUUAAUAUUCCUGUACUUUACAAUGCUGCGAUGGGAGGACGGAGAAGGCUAGGUCAUCCCCCGGAUGGUUGUGGGGGUUUAAGUGUGUAGGGAGAGUUCUUUGGCAAAUCCGGGAAUUCAAUUCUGAGACAUGAUGACGAAGUACGACUUGUUCGUGCAAAAGUGAUUAAUGCCAUGCUUCCAGGAAAAGUCCCUAAGCUUCAGGUAUUGUAAAACCGUACUAUAAACCGACACAGGUGGACAGGUAGAGAAUACCAAGGCGCUUGAGAGAACUUGGGUGAAGGAACUAGGCAAAAUAGCACCGUAACUUCGGGAGAAGGUGUGCCCUUGGUAAGUAGAGGCUUCGCAGCCGAAAGCUGAAAAGGGUUGCAAUAACUAGGUGGCUGAGACUGUUUACUAAAAACAUAGCACUCUGCAAACUCGCAAGAGGAAGUAUAGGGUGUGACGCCUGCCCGGUGCCGGAAGGUUAAAUGAUGGAGUUAGUCCUCGGACGAAGCUCUGGAUUGAAGCCCCGGUAAACGGCGGCCGUAACUAUAACGGUUAAAUAAGCUUAAUUUAUUGAUAUUAAUUAAAUCAAUUAUUCUACCGCUUAGUGGCUGUUAUAAAAUUUGGCUAUAUGCUGGAAACUCCGAGUAUCCUGGAGUACUUGUUUUAUAUGACUAUCUUAGAUUAUUUAGGAUAGGAUAAUUUUGUAUGAAACAGUAAAAAUCUAACAGGUGCGGACAAUCAGCAGGAAAGACUGAAAUAUCAGAAUCCUCAGAGACUACAUGCCAAACACUAAUUUUCGUUGGUGAAGAUAUAGUCCGACCUCUGUGGCGACAUAGAGAAUCUGGCAGAAAUGACCAGAUCUUUUCAACUUUUUGUUAAAGGGAAGGUAGGGAAGUAACAAAUUGCCUAAGGUAGAAUUAAUAUCGCUGCUUUAGUAAAAUUUGGCUAUAUGCUGGAAACUCCGAGUAUCCUGGAGUACUUGUUUUAUAUGACUAUCUUAGAUUAUUUAGGAUAGGAUAAUUUUGUAUGAAACAGUAAAAAUCUAACAGGUGCGGACAAUCAGCAGGAAAGACUGAAAUAUCAGAAUCCUCAGAGACUACAUGCCAAACACUAAUUUUCGUUGGUGAAGAUAUAGUCCCCUCUGCAUGGCGACAUGCAGGAAAAGUAGGAUACUUUUCAGCUUAUUCAAUUUUUUUAUUGAAUUAAGUUAAGAUUAUGAGCGAAAUUCCUUGUCGGGUAAGUUCCGACCUGCACGAAUGGCGUAACGAUGGCCACGCUGUCUCCACCCAAGACUCAGUGAAAUUGAAAUCGCUGUGAAGAUGCAGUGUACCCGCGGCUAGACGGAAAGACCCCGUGAACCUUUACUAUAGCUUUAUACUGAACUUUGAAUAUGCCUGUGUAGGAUAGGUGGGAGGCUUUGAAGUCGGAGCGCUAGCUCCGGUGGAGCCAAUCUUGAAAUACCACCCUUGUGUAUUUGAGGUUCUAACCUUGACCCGUCAUCCGGGUUAGGAACAGUGUAUGGUGGGUAGUUUGACUGGGGCGGUCUCCUCCUAAAGAGUAACGGAGGAGUACAAAGGUACCCUCAGCACGGUCGGAAAUCGUGCAAUGCGUGCAAAGGCAUAAGGGUGCUUGACUGCGAGACUGACAAGUCGAGCAGGUACGAAAGUAGGUCUUAGUGAUCCGGUGGUUCUUUAUGGAAGGGCCAUCGCUCAACGGAUAAAAGGUACUCCGGGGAUAACAGGCUGAUACCACCCAAGAGUUCAUAUCGACGGUGGUGUUUGGCACCUUAACUUAAUCGGGGUGCUACAGAAGUAAUUCUGUACCAAAAAUUCGGCUUAUAACGGUAAAACCGUCAGUGUAAAUUUAGUGAUGGCAUCUCUUAUAUCUCAAAUUUAUUACCCGGCAAUACCGUGGGAAGUCUAAUGUCUAAACAACACGCCGUUUUGGUAGGAAGUUAAGUUAAUGAUAUGCUCUUCUCUUAACUCCACUAAAAAUCAGACAAGGCACUGAUGGUGGGUUUUAUAUCGAUUGUGCCACGUAGAAGCUGUGUGCUCGAUAUGAAUUAGCAUUAUGACCCUGUAACGACUGACCUGAAAGGGGAGAUCCAUUCGAGGCAAUUGAAAUGGGUAAUACGCCGACUCCUGUUUGUCUUAAUUAGACUAUGACUCGCAAAAGUUUAAGGUCAAUGCAGGAUGAAGAUAUAGUCUACGCCAUAUGAAAAUAUGGAAUCAUGUACGAUGUCGGCUCAUCACAUCCUGGGGCUGUAGCCGGUCCCAAGGGUAUGGCUGUUCGCCAUUUAAAGUGGUACGUGAGCUGGGUUUAGAACGUCGUGAGACAGUUCGGUCCCUAUCUACCGUGGGCGUUGGAGAUUUGAGAGGAGCUGCUCCUAGUACGAGAGGACCGGAGUGGACGCACCUCUGGUGUUCCGGUUGUCACGCCAGUGGCACUGCCGGGUAGCUAAGUGCGGACGGGAUAACCGCUGAAAGCAUCUAAGCGGGAAGCCUCCCUCAAGAUGAGAUCUCCCGGACCUUAAAAGGUCCCUAAAGAUUCGUUGAAGACUACAACGUUGAUAGGCAGGGUGUGGAAGCUCAGUAAUGAGUUUUGAGCUAACCUGUACUAAUUAAUCGUGCGACUUGACCAU